rnacentral:rRNA from 1 species
GACGAACGCUGGCGGCGUGCUUAACACAUGCAAGUCGAACGGUGAACCUCUUCGGACUGGAUCAUUGACGAACGGGUGAGUAACACGUGGGUAACCUUCCCCCUGCUCUGGGAUAACUCCAAGAAAUUGGGGCCAAUACUGGAGGUUCACCGCUUCCCGCAUGGGUGGGGGUGGAAAGGGUUUCCGGCUGGGGAUGGGCCCGCGGCCUAUCAGCUUCUUGGGGGGGGAGUGGCCUACCAAGGCGACGACUGGUAACCUGCCUGGGAAGGUGACCACGCACACGGGUACUGCGACACGGAGCAGUCUCGUACGUGAGGCAGCAGUGGGGAGUAUUACGCAACCGGGCCAAGUCUGACAAGGAGACGCCGCGUGGGGGAAGCAGGCCUUCGGGUUGUAAACCUCAUUAAGCAGGGACGAAGCGGAUGUGACGGUACCUACAGAAGAAGCACCGGCUAACUACGUG